AUACGUAGGGUGCAAGCGUUAAUCGGAAUUACUGGGCGUAAAGCGUGCGCAGGCGGUUUUGUAAGACAGGCGUGAAAUCCCCGGGCUCAACCUGGGAAUGGCGCUUGUGACUGCAAAGCUGGAGUGCGGCAGAGGGGGAUGGAAUUCCGCGUGUAGCAGUGAAAUGCGUAGAUAUGCGGAGGAACACCGAUGGCGAAGGCAAUCCCCUGGGCCUGCACUGACGCUCAUGCACGAAAGCGUGGGGAGCAAACAGGAUUAGAUACCCUGGUAGUCCACGCCCUAAACGAUGUCAACUGGUUGUUGGGUCUCUUCUGACUCAGUAACGAAGCUAACGCGUGAAGUUGACCGCCUGGGGAGUACGGCCGCAAGGUUGAA
rnacentral:rRNA from 1 species